UAUCUAUUCUCAGACAAACCG
rnacentral:piRNA from 1 species